UUUUUCUUUUUUAAAUGUAACCUGGUUUAUUGGGCUCUCGGCGUAUUCUUGCGUUCAUUCUGCACUGGGACAAGACACCACUGCACUAUUGGACUACGGCAAGCUGGUACCGUCCGGUGGAGCUUCAUACAGCAACUACUGCCUUACCUGCUGGUGUCACAACGUUGGAUAA